UACGUAGGGGGCCAGCGUUGCUCGGAAUUACUGGGCGUAAAGGGUCCGUAGGCGGUGCGGCAAGUCGGAAGUGAAAUCUCUGGGCUUAACCCAGAGGCUGCUUCCGAAACUGCCGUGCUAGAGGAUGAGAGAGGCAAGUGGAAUUGCGGGUGUAGCGGUGAAAUGCGUAGAUAUCUGGAGGAACACCCGUGGCGAAGGCGGCUGACUGGAUCGCAACUGACGCUGAGGAACGAAAGCUAGGGGAGCAAACAGG
rnacentral:rRNA from 1 species